UGCCACCACUCGUCACAUCUACGACCUCGGUCCAGGUAAAGGCUUCACAUCAUCAAGCAGCUUAGCUUCUCCAUUUUCCCUUUUUUUUAUCUUCUGAAUGAAAAAAAAGAAAGAAUUACAUUAAUGAUGGAUUAGGAGUGGACCAGCAUCUGAUAGAAAAGAUUCUAAACCCUUCGUACCUGGACCAAGAGGCAAUAACGUUCCGCAGCCUAAAGAACAUAAUUAACAACUCCUCAACAAAGGCUGUGGCAUGGGUUGGUGAGGCUGGUGGCGCUUACAACAGCGGUCGUAAUCUUG
rnacentral:lncRNA from 1 species